rnacentral:rRNA from 1 species
GCUUGUCUCAAAGAUUAAGCCAUGCAUGUCUAAGUAUAAACAACUUUGUACUGUGAAACUGCGAAUGGCUCAUUAUAUCAGUUAUAGUCUACUCGAUAGUACCUUACUACUUGGAUAACCGUAGUAAUUCUAGAGCUAAUACAUGCACAAAGCAGCCUUCACGGGUUGUGUAUUUAUUAGAUACAAUCAGCCCUUCGGGUCUUGAUGAAUCAUAAUAACUGAACUAAGCGCAUGCCUUGUGCGGCGCUGUUUCAUUCAAGUUUCUGCCCUAUCAGCUUUCGAUGGUAGGGUAUUGGCCUACCAUGGCGUUAACGGGUAACGGAGAAUUAGGGUUCGAUUCCGGAGAGGGAGCCUGAGAGAUGGCUACCACAUCCAAGGAAGGCAGCAGG